AGCGAACGCUGGCGGCAUGCCUAACACAUGCAAGUCGAACGAGACCUUCGGGUCUAGUGGCGCACGGGUGCGUAACGCGUGGGAACCUGCCCUUAGGUUCGGAAUAACUCCCCGAAAGGGGUGCUAAUACCGGAUAAUGUCUUCGGACCAAAGAUUUAUCGCCUUUGGAUGGGCCCGCGUUGGAUUAGCUAGUUGGUAGGGUAAAAGCCUACCAAGGCGACGAUCCAUAGCUGGUCUGAGAGGAUGAUCAGCCACACUGGGACUGAGACACGGCCCAGACCCCUACGGGAGGCAGCAGUGGGGAAUAUUGGAAAAUGGGCGAAAGCCUGACCCAGCAAUGCCGGGUGAGUGAUGAAGGCCUUAGGGUUGUAAAGCUCUUUUACCCGGGAUGAUAAUGACAGUACCGGGAGAAUAAGCUCCGGCUAACCCCGU
rnacentral:rRNA from 1 species